rnacentral:rRNA from 1 species
CAGCCGCCGCGGUAAUACGAGGGGGGCAAGCGUUGUUCGGAAUGACUGGGCGUAAAGGGCGCGUAGGCGGAUUGUUUAGUUAGGCGUGAAAUUCCUGGGCUUAACCUGGGGACUGCGCUUAAUACAGGCAGUCUAGAGUGAGGAAGAGGGUUGUGGAAUUCCCAGUGUAGAGGUGAAAUUCGUAGAUAUUGGGAAAAACACCGGUGGCGAAGGCGGCAACCUGGUCCUUGACUGACGCUGAGGCGCGGAAGCGUGGGGAGCAAACAGGAUUAGAUACCCGCGUAGUCCCUGUCUCUUAUAC